CAAUAGCGUUAUCUUCUUCAAUAAUAUCUCAGCCCUUCGUUUUUCCCUCCAUGAACAGCGCUUGCAAUAACCCCCUUCUCUCUUCUUCCUUCCUUCACCAACCUCUCAAAUCUUCAAGAUUCCCAAAUGUAUCCAUUUUCUUCCCCAUUAUUUCAAACCCCAUUACCCCAAAUCGCUGUAUUCCCAUAAAAACAACCAUUAAGGGAUCUAUGGAGUCCAGGAAUCCCACAAAGGGAAGAAGCACUAGUCCAAGAAAAUUCAAACCCAGAUAUGGAACUUCAAGAAGAUCAACUAUCAAGAAAAGUCUUAGUCAAGAACAAGUUAAUUUUACUAAACCCAUCCCUGAUGACCCUGUAGUUGGGAUUAUUGGUGGUGGAAUGUCUGGCCUUACUUGUGCUCUUUAUUUGGAGAAAAGAGGCAUUCGUUCAACCGUUUUCGACACGGGAAUACAUGGGUUGGGAGGAAGAAUGGGAACAAGAAUGAUUGAUCAUCAGCCUUUGAUAUUUGACCAUGCAGCUCAGUUCUUCACAGUGACAAACCCCAAGUUUGCUGAGCUAGUUGAUGACUGGUUGAAGAGAGGUCUGGUUCGUGAAUGGAAGGGUACAAUUGGUGAGCUUGAAGUUGGUGGGAAUUUUGUCCCAUUUCCUUCUUCACCUCCUAAAUAUAUAGGGGUCAACGGUAUGCGCCCACUUGCGGAUUCAUUACUAUCUCAGACUUCUUUGGUCAAUGUGGUACGACCUUGUUGGGUAAGCGCACUUGAACCAUUUAAUGGGACGUGGCACUUGAGUGAGAAGGGGAAGCCUUGUGGGCAGUUUGAUGCAAUUGUCAUUGCACAUAAUGGUAAAUGUGCCAAUAGAUUGCUUGCAGCAUCAGGCUUACCCCUCAUUGCAAAACAAAUGAAGAGACUUGAACUUAGUUCUAUAUGGGCUCUUCUUGCUGCAUUUGAGGAUCCUCUGCCAACUGCACUAAAUGCAGCGUCCCUUCCCUUUGAAGGGGCUUUUGUAAAAGGGGUUGAAUCUGUCUCAUGGAUGGCAAACAACACUAAGAAACUCUUAGCUUCAGAUAGUGGUCCACAAUGUUGGACAUUUUUCAGCACUGCAACCUUUGGAAAGCAGAACAAAGUCCCCCAGGAAAGUAUUCCAAAUGCUACAGGAGAGAAAGUGAAGGAAGCUAUGCUUGAGGGUGUUGAGAAGGCUCUAGGACUAUCAAAAAGCUCACUCCAAAAGCCAUUUUAUACAAAAUUACAACUAUGGGGUGCAGCUCUUCCAACCAACACUCCUGGAAUUCCAUGCAUCUUUGAUCCUCGUGGAAGGGCUGGUAUAUGUGGUGAUUGGCUACUUGGAUCAAGUUUAGAAGCUGCAGCUUUAAGUGGCAUAGCUCUUGCUGAUCAAAUUGCAGAUUACUUCGAACAAGGUGGUCCUUGCUCAGAUGAGUUUGCUGUUGGUUUGCACGAUGAAUAUAAGCCACUUGAAGGACAUGAUAUAGGGCAGUUUCCAGGACUGGAUACUGUUGAUCAAAUUACAAAUGUCCCAGCUUUGACACUCGCUACAUGAACUGAUCCUGUGACGAAGUCUUCUGAUGAUUUGUUGGUUAAAGCAAGCGAAAACAAAUUAAGACACACUAUCGGAACAAGCAGUUUGCAAUACUGGUUAUAGACAUAUACUUGAGCUUGAAUCAUUUUGCUAGCAGCUCAUGCGAAGGUUCAGCUAAAUAUCUGAUAAUCGAAACUCAAGUUGGAUUUCUCGAACCUUCAACUUUGGGUUGGAGAGAAAAGUACUCAAAAGUCAGAAAUCGAGCCUCGAUUUCAUUAGAAUCUCAGAUGGUGAGCAAGUCUUAUAAAACCUUGAGUGACGAAUUCUACAAUUUCAGAAAGAAAAACUUUGUAGUUUGAAUAUGCAACUGUAGAUGUAUAAGAACUAUUAGUACAUAUAGGGGUGGCAAUUUCGGCUUAUAUAAGUGAAACGAAACCAUUUUGCCCAUGUUAAACUAAAUGGAACACUCGUAUUUUAUUUCAUCUUAUUAAA